GCGAUCAUACCAGCACUAAUGCACCGGAUCCCAUCAGAACUCCGAAGUUAAGCGUGCUUGGGCGAGAGCAGUACUAGAUGGGUGACCCCCUGGGAAGUCCUCGUGUUGCACCU
rnacentral:rRNA from 1 species